rnacentral:rRNA from 1 species
CUCGUAGGCGGCUUGUCGCGUCUGCCGUGAAAACCCAGGGCUCAACUCUGGGCGUGCGGUGGGUACGGGCAGGCUAGAGUGCGGUAGGGGAGAUUGGAAUUCCUGGUGUAGCGGUGGAAUGCGCAGAUAUCAGGAGGAACACCGAUGGCGAAGGCAGAUCUCUGGGCCGUAACUGACGCUGAGGAGCGAAAGCAUGGGGAGCGAACA